rnacentral:misc_RNA from 1 species
UUUCCGUAGGUGAACCUGCGGAAGGAUCAUUCAUAAUAAAGUGUUUUAUGGCACUUUUUAAAAAUCCAUAUCCACCUUGUGUGCAAUGUUAGAUCUCGUCAAUCUUGGCGAGAUUUUUAUACAUCAACUCAUUCUUUAAUUAAUUUGUCUGAAAAAUAUUAUGAAUACUUAAUUCAAAAUACAACUUUCAACAACGGAUCUCUUGGCUCUC